AAUAAUAAAAUGUGGAACUGGCUGCUCUUCUGCGUUGCUUGGAGCCUCGUUUGCCUCUUCGUUUUUGGCCGUUUUUGCAGCUUUUGCAGCCCGCUUCCUAUCUUUCAUGGGUUGGACGUUCCUCUUCCUUUUUGGUGUAGGUAAAACGAAAUCAUCUACAUAAGCUUCGUUUCCAUCUGCAUUUUACUUACCAGACUUGCUGUCGUCAUUUUUCUCUCUCUCAUUACCUGGUAGUAUGAUUUCAGCAAUAAUUUAAAACAAGGUAUUAAUUAGUUUUAUU